ACCUAGGUAGUUUAAUAAAAAUGUUGAUUUGUGGAGUCAAAGAUGUAGGUGUACCUUAGGUA
rnacentral:tRNA from 1 species